rnacentral:tRNA from 1 species
UAUAAAUUGAGAAACUUUAAUUCCCAUUUUUAGAUUCUAAGUCUAUUACAAUUAUCUGCCAAAUUUAU